UACGUAGGGUGCAAGCGUUGUCCGGAAUUAUUGGGCGUAAAGAGCUUGUAGGCGGUUUGUCGCGUCUGCUGUGAAAUCUCAAGGCUCAACCUUGAGCUUGCAGUGGGUACGGGCAGACUAGAGUGUGGUAGGGGAGACUGGAAUUCCUGGUGUAGGCGGUGAAAUGCGCAGAUAUCAGGAGGAACACCGAUGGCGAAGGCAGGUC
rnacentral:rRNA from 1 species